rnacentral:rRNA from 1 species
UGGAUGGUAGUGUAUUGGACUACCAUGGCAGUCACGGGUAACGGAGAAUUAGGGUUCGAUUCCGGAGAGGGAGCCUGAGAAACGGCUACCACAUCUACGGAAGGCAGCAGGCGCGUAAAUUACCCAAUCCUGAUUCAGGGAGGUAGUGACAAGAAAUAACAACUCGGGCAUUUUUAAUGCUUCGAAUUUGCAAUGGGAACAAUCUAAAUCACUUAUCGAGGAACAAUUGGAGGGCAAGUCUGGUGCCAGCAGCCGCGGUAAUUCCAGCUCCAAUAGCGUAU